GAUGAACGCUGGCGGCGUGCCUAAUACAUGCAAGUCGAGCGAACGGACGAGAAGCUUGCUUCUCUGAUGUUAGCGGCGGACGGGUGAGUAACACGUGGAUAACCUACCUAUAAGACUGGGAUAACUUCGGGAAACCGGAGCUAAUACCGGAUGAUAUUUUGAACCGCAUGGUUCAAAAGUGAAAGACGGUCUUGCUGUCACUUAUAGAUGGAUCCGCGCUGCAUUAGCUAGUUGGUAAGGUAACGGCUUACCAAGGCAACGAUGCAUAGCCGACCUGAGAGGGUGAUCGGCCACACUGGAACUGAGACACGGUCCAGACUCCUACGGGAGGCAGCAGUAGGGAAUCUUCCGCAAAGGGCGAAAGCCUGACGGAGCAACGCCGCGUGAGUGAUGAAGGUCUUCGGAUCGUAAAACUCUGUUAUUAGGGAAGAACAUAUGUGUAAGUAACUGUGCACAUCUUGACGGCACCUAAUCAGAAAGCCACGGCUAACUACGUG
rnacentral:rRNA from 1 species